rnacentral:lncRNA from 1 species
UCAGUGUUAACACAGGAGCCCUACAGUCUAGAGGGCAUUAUCCCCAUUUUUCAGUGGAGGAGGUAAUGAAGGCUAUGGAAGAUGACUCCUCUGGGGCCCACAGUGAGGUAUGUAGGAUUUUGGUCAUAACCUAUCCCCAAUUCCCAGUCUUCCUUACAAUUGUGCUGUGCUGUUACAGAGUCCUGGAACAAGGGCCGAAGUGACAUUGCAGCUGGACCACUGAAACAGCUUGCAAACUCCGGUUCAUGUGACUGGAGGCCAAGGACUCCAAGAUGGAGUGAUGAGGAGAAGGAGAGAGCCAGAUCUUAGCCUUACCAUUUGGAAGAGGGCUUUGCUAGUCAUCCUUUUGGAUCCUGCAAUUCAUUGUCCUGAGUGGAUUUGUUGCAAAAGCAAGAUCAGGACCAAUCUGACGUCUACAAUGGCAUCGUCUCCUACGGGGUCCAUGAUCUGCCAGUAGGGGAUUCUCUGAAGCAAUUAGGACAGAUGCAUUGUACAAGCUUACAAGCAUAACACAGCCAUCAGGCAAGGACAGCACCUUCAAAUGGAUACAGGAGAGUAACAUAUGGAUGGAGAAGACACACUGUGAGCUCUCGCAGGCAACUUUUUCACUGUGUCUCUUCCUUCAGGCAACAGAGCCCUGGAACAAAACAGAAUCUGGAAAAUAAACAUUGCAUCGAAUCUCAUGUAGCUUCCAAUUGUGCUUAAGCUUGUCUAAAGUGGAGGUUCGGGGAGGAGGAACUGUAAAAUAAUGUUUGGAACAUUCUUCCUAAGAUCCAUAGCUCCACUUUGACUUCUUCAACAUUAAGAGGAAUAAAGUCCUGGUUGCUUCUGCUGUGUUCCCAAGGCUCAUGAAAGCCAGACACUAGACUCCUGUUGGAUCUAAAAGUAAACUCCUAAAUAAGUCCACAAUGUUACUGGGAAAAUGUCUUGAAGGGCCAGUGUUUCUGAUUUCUCAGAUCCUGAGAGGCAGUCAUGGCUGACAAGAUACAAAUGUUUACAAGCUAAGAGCUCAUCUUACAGUUUAGAGAAGGGGAAUCAGCGACUUAGAAGCCACAAAUGAUCCUCAGGCACUAUAUGUUAUGGGAGAAAAGGCUAUGGGAUGGUGAGGACGCACCGGGUGACACUGAACAAACCCUGAAGGGGGCUGUAUGGACAGAAGCUUUGGGACCAUCCCAGGGCCUCCUGAGCUGCUCAAACUGUGUCCUACCCCCAGGCAUGAGGGCAAAUGAAAACAAGAAGGGCGGAGAAGCAACAGAAACCACAUCACCCCAUCCUCCUUGCCAUCUGGUGGUCCCUGGAAACCAUCAGUAUAUUUAGUUACUAUGUUUACACAGGAGGCAGGACCCACAUUGCUUGCUCCAGGCUCCCCCAGAGCUGUUGGAAUGGUCUCUACUUCCCUGGGAUCCUAAGGACCACUCCCAACCCCUGUACACACAGGCCUGAAGAUCUACCCAGUCCUGGGGUUUGAGAAAACUGGGGGUUCGGUUGUCCAAAGUGGAGGGAUGUUUAGGUCACCUUAGACCUCAUCUAGCAUUUGCCUGGGGCCUGGGUGUCAAUUUGGGAAGGACGACUUGAGAAGCCAGGAAGGGCUUAGGAUCGUCCGGCUGCGCAAGCUGCCAGGUUGAGGACAGUGGAUGGCUGAAUUAUGAAUAUUAACUAUGGAGCCUGGACCAUGGCAGCAGCUCACUGGACACAGACUUUUAAUAACCAUGGCUAUAUCUCUGCUUCAGUUACGGGACAUAUGUGCCUGCUUAGAAAGUAGGUUGCAUGUGAUGGGUUUUUCCAUGGGAUUUCCCAUCCAUUUUUUUUUUUUGAGUGGAAAAGCUGAGGGUUAUAAAGGUUCACUACUUCCUAUCUGACCAGGACAGUUAAUAAAGGAUGACCAGAAUUUGAAGGUGGCUUCUUCAUCUCUACCCAAUUUUGGGAAAUAAAGUCAUGGAUAAACUGA